rnacentral:rRNA from 1 species
UUAAAGUUGUUGCGGUUAAAACGUUCGUAGUUGAAUUUGUGUCCCACACGGGUAAUUGGCCCACUUACGGGUUCUUAUUACUUGCCGGCUUGCUGGCUUUAGUGUGCGGACGUUUUACCGGUGAGGGAAACGGUGUAGUUUCGGCUGCAAUACGCCCCUUAUUUAUUUCAUAAACCCGUCUUGGUGCUUUUAAUCGAGUGCCAAUGUGGGCCGGUACUAUUACUUUGAACAAAUUAGAGUGCUUAAAGCAGGCUAAAUUUAAUGAAAGUUAAAACGCCUGAAGAUAUUUUGCAUGGAAUAAUGGAAUAGGACCUCUGUUCUACUUUCAUUGGUUUUUAGACCAAGAGGUAAUGAUUAAUAGAAGCAGUUGGGGGCAUUAGUAUUACGAGGCGAGAGGUGAAAUUCGUAGACCCUCGUAAGACUAACUUAAGCGAAAGCAUUUGCCAAGGAUGUUUUCAUUAAUCAAGAACGAAAGUUAGAGGAUCGAAGGCGAUCAGAUACCGCCCUAGUUCUAACCAUAAACGAUGCCAGCUAGCAAUUGUAUGUAGCUACUAAUUUUGGUUCAUACAGUCGCUUUCCGGGAAACCAAAGCUUUUGGGCUCCGGGGGAAGUAUGGUUGCAAAGCUGAAACUUAAA